AGAAACGUGAUGAAGAGAAAAGUAUAAAUUGCGAAGCAUCAAAGAGAGUCCGAGUAGGUGAGAGCGGAUAUGUGGAAGGAUUUAGAAAAUGGUCUCUGAAUGGCAUUGCCGAUAGGUAGGCAGUGACGGGGUAGCGCUCGUUAUUAACGCUCAAGUAUGAUUGUACUUGUUGAGGCAAUAGUUGUGAAAUUAUUGCAAAUGAAGGUGGUAUCGCGAGUAAGCUCGUCCUUUUU
rfam:Enterococcus sp. 3H8_DIV0648 scaffold00002, whole genome shotgun sequence.